UUGUAGCCUUGGGCAACUCCUUGCUGUAGUCGUAGUUUCCUCAUCUGUGAAUUGAGGAUAAUUCUUAGGGUGACAGUAAGAAUCAAACAGGAUAACGGUUGCAAAGUGACUGGAAACGACACCGUGUAGCGUGCUCUUCCCUGCCGUUCAUGCUUUUUGACAGUUGUGCUGGCCUGGUGCUAUGGCCAGUGUGGGCAGUGUGCAUGGGACACGACUCUUGCUCUCCAGGGCUGGUCCCCACAGGAAACAACCCGCAGUGGUUGAACAGUGAGCAGCUGCUAUGGAGGGCACACAGGCUCUCGCAUCAAACCCACAUGCGCCAGUAUGAAAGUUUAGAACCUGGAAGAGAGGCAGCUUUCUUCCCUUUGGGUUUUCAGAGGGCAUCUUUUUGCGGUCUGCACAGAUGUGGCAGGGGGAGAAUUUGGUGGAAGGAAGGAACAAAUCACUGGCUGCUGCAGCCUCCCACGCUACCUGUUGGAGCAGGGCAGGGAGUAGGCUUAAAGGACUUUGCCGUCUCCUUGCACAUGAUCUUGCAGGAUCACGUCAUCUCCUUGUGUGAGAUUUGGGGCCAAGAUGGCUUGUAGGUCACUGACUAGCUGUGCUCCCACUAUCUCAGUUCUUUAACCUUUGUUGUUUUUUUUCCUGUGUAAAAUGGGGACAGUAGAAUCAUUUGCCUCAUUUUGUUGUCUUGAGGAUAUAAUGAAAUAAUGUUCUUACCCACUAUAAAGCACUUCCCAAAUGAGAGUCAUUUUACCAAUUACCACUUCAGCUCAACCUCUGCUGUGGCAGCAGAAAAUCAUCUGCCCUGUUCUGUUCUCAUAACAGUGAAUGACAAAGGAGAUGACGGAAGUGCCUUGAGCUCCUCAAAAGAAAGAUAAUACUGUGAAGAAGGGUUAGAGCUCAGCUUCAAGUAAAGGAAAUUCCAAGGGAGAAAGUGGAAGAAGAGAAACCAUCGGGUUUGGGGAAGCGAUAUCACCCACGGAAUCUCACUUUGUUGCCCUAAGAAGAGUGCCUUGGCAUCAUAUCUCACAGCAACCUCAAACUCUUGGGCUCAGGAGCACACCAAGGGGACCUCAUUCAAAUCAGUGCUAAUUGAGUGACAUUGUGAAUUGUGAUCCAACUCUCCACAGACCUAAUCUUUAAAAACAUGCCGGUUGUCUCACGUUGCCCAAGAGUUCCCAACGAGGUCAACUUGCUACUGAUUGGACACCUCUCAGUCAGUGUCAGAGAGAAGAAUCAUCAAGGGCCACCUCUGAAGCACCCAGUACACCUGUUGGACUGAAGGAUGGAGGCAUGGUGGUGGGUGGAUUGUGCACCAAGUGGUCAGAUCCACCCUAACAGCACACCCAGCCAGUGUCUCUAAUAUGAUCUUCCUGAGAAUUUUUAGAAGGCUAGGAGCUCAGAGUUGGAAAGAGCUCUUAAGUUCAUUCUUAGCAGGAUAAAGGAAUCUUCUUUACAAUCUCCUUGGUUAACCAGUCUAAAAGUUUAUGAGCUAGAACCCAGUCC